GGCACUGUGGCUUAGUGUUUAGAAUGUUUGCCUCGAACCUCCAGGGUCGGGGGCUUGAAUCCCGCCUCUGCCC